CUCGGAGACACGUGCAAGAUCGUUGCUUACAACACUGCAGAAGAAAACAGCUGGAAACAUGCUAUCUGUCUACCCACAGAGGAAGAUGCUAGUUUUCAGAGCAGAGCCGACUUCCCUCCAGCUGGAAAGAAGCACCCACCUCGCUUCCUCUGGUCUGUGCCCCCACCACACCGAGUCUCCUCACACUAAGGCUGGCUCAGGUCAGAGCCUCCCCUCCUCACUGCAGAGAGGAUCCUCCCGCCCCUACACUUGCAAGUAUCUCUGAAUAGACCACACUCAUCAUCCCCUGCCCUGUUCACCACCCUGCCAUCAGCUUCACCUCACCAGUCCGUAGAAGUCGUGCCCACCAGAAUCACCAGUGACAUCCUCAUUACCAAAUUCACAGCCUUCUCUCAGUUUCUGCAGAUCCUCAAACCCAGUCUGUCUUCCUCCUGAGCACACAGCUCAACUGCGUUUCCAGCCCCCUUGCAGUCCUGAGUGGUUAAGAGGCAGCUCUGGCCAGUGCAGUCAAAGCACCUCUUCUGGGCUGACACAUAAGCCUCCUGUGCCCGUGUCCUUCUCCUGCUGGCUGCUGCAGGCUGAGGCGAUAUCCCUGGAUACCAGGUGUUGAGUACGGGAAGGAAGUUGGGCACAAAAUCAAAGGAUCCUGGGUCCUUGAUGGUCACUUGGAGACGUAAGCUGGAUGUCCAGCAUGGACACACAUUUUGG
rnacentral:lncRNA from 10 species